AAUAACCGAAGAUGACUGCUGGGUUUAGUGUUGGGUUCGUAAUCACACGAACAUCACCACCACCUGGUGCCCAGGUGUCAUACACGCCACCAAAGAACAUAGCUUUCAGUACCAACAAGAGCGCACCAGAUCCGAGGAUGAUCAGGUGAAACCCGAUGAUGUUGGUCAUCUUGUUCUUGUCUUUCCA
rnacentral:antisense_RNA from 1 species